rnacentral:lncRNA from 1 species
UUCAUCAGUUUGUUCCCCGUUUCUUCUCUAGCCUGAGCCUGACAAACUAUUCUAGCUAGACAUGCGUGUGGCUCGUAACACCUGAUGACCAAACGGAUCUAUAGCACCAUCGAAUCUCAAACUUUAACUGCCAAAACUAUUGUUUUCAUCCUGUAGUCCCUUUUAGAAUUACUAAACUUCCUUUUUUGGGCCGAGAUUUAGAGGAACGCUUUCUGGGGUUUGUGUGCAAGUAUUUCAAACCAUACAGACCUAAAAAUUAGAAGUCAUUCCAUCUUUAUUCCCCUAGAGCCUUCCAGCAGUUCCUAAACCGCUCUAGUCGGAGCACGUUAUCAUUAUUGUUAGUUCUGAGUGAAUUCCCUCGGUAUGAUAAUUCUUUCAUCAGUUUGUUCCCUGUUUCUUCUCUAUCCUGAGCCUGACACACUAUUCUAGCUAGACAUGGGUGUGGCUCGUAACACCUGAUGACUAAAUGGAUCGACGGCACCAUCGAAUCUCAAACUUUAACUGCCAAAACUAUUGUUUUUCAUCCUGUAGUCCCAUUUAGAAUUAGUAAACGUCCUUUUUUGGGCCGAGAUUUAGAGGAACGCUUUCUCGGGGUUUGUGUGCAAGUAUUUCAAACCAUACGGACCUAAAAAUUAGAAGUCAUUCCAUCUUUAUUCCCCUAGUCAUCAGGUAUACACUCAAGUCGGAGCACGUUAUCAUUCUUGUUAGUUCUGAGUGAAUUCCCUCGGUAUGAUAAUUCUUUCAUAAAUUUGUUCCCCGUUUCUUAUAUGGCCUGAGCCUGACACACUAUUCUAGCUAGACAUGGGUGUGGCUCGUAACACCUGAUGACCAAACGGAUCUACGGCACCAUCAAAUCUCAAACUUUAACUGCCAAAACUAUUCUUUUUCAUUCUGUAGUCCCUUCUAGAAUUACUAAACGUCCUUUUUUGGGCCGAGAUUUCCAGGAACGCUUUCUCGGGGUUUGUGUGCAUGUAUUUCAAACCAUACAGACCUAAAAAUUAUAAGUCAUUCCAUCUUUAUUCCCGUAGAGCCUUCCAGUAGUUCCUAAACCGCUCCAGUCGGAGCAUGUUAUCAUUCUUGUUAGUUCUAAGUGAAUUCCCUCGGUAUGAUAAUUCUUUCAUCAGUUUGUUCCCCGUUUCUUCUCUAGCCUGAGCCUGGCACACUAGUCUAGCUAGACAUGGGUGUGGCUCGUAACACCCGAUGACUAAAUGGAUCGACGGCACCAUCGAAUCUCAAACUUUAACUGCCAAAACUAUUGUUUUUCAUCCUGUAGUCCCAUUUAGAAUUACUAAACGUCCUUUUUUGGGCCGAGAUUUAGAGGAACGCUUUCUCGUGGUUUGUGUGCAAGAAUUUCAAACCAUACGGACCUAAAAAUUAGAAGUCAUUCCAUCUUUAUUCCCCUAGAGCCUUCCAGUAGUUCCUAAACCGCUCUAGUCGGAGCACGUUAUCAUUCUUGUUAGUUCUGAGAGAAUUCCCUCGGUAUGAUAAUUCUUUUAUCAGUUUGUUCCCCGUUUCUUCUCUAGCCUGAGCCCGACACACUAUUCUAGCUAGACAUGGGUGUGGCUCGUAACACCUGAUGACCAAACGGAUCUACGGCACCAUCGAAUCUCAAACUUUAACUGCCAAAACUAUUGUUUUUCAUCCUGUAGUCCCUUUUAGAAUUACUAAAUGUCCUUUUUUGGGCCGAGAUUUCCAGGAACGCUUUCUCAGGGUUUGUGUGCAAGUAAUUCAAACCAUACGGACCUAAAAAUUAGAAGUCAUUCCAUCUUUAUUCCCCUAGAGCCUUCCAGCAGUUCCUAAACCGCUCAAGUCAGUGCACGUUAUCAUUCUUGUUAGUUCUAAGUGAAUUCCCUCGGUAUGAUAAUUUGUUCAUCAGUUUGUUCCCCGUUUCUUCUCUAGCCUGAGCCUGACACACUAUUCUAGCUAGACAUGGGUGUGGCUCGUAACACCUGAUGACCAAACGGAUCUACGACACCAUCGAAUCUCAAACUUUAACUACCAAAACUAUUGUUUUUCAUCCUCUAGUCCCUUUUAGAAUUACUAAACGUCCUUUUUUGGGCCGAGAUUUCCAGGAACGCUUUCUCGGGGUUUGUGUGCAUGUAUUUCAAACCAUACAGACCUAAAAAUUAGAAGUCAUUCCAUCUUUAUUCCCGUAGAGCCUUCCAGCAGUUCCUAAACCGCUCCAGUCGGAGCAUGUUAUCAUUCUUGUUUGUUCUGAGUGAAUUCCCUCGGUAUGAUAAUUCUAUCAUCAGUUUGUUCCCCGUUUCUUCUCUAGCCUGAGCCUGGCAAACUAUUCUAGCUAGACAUGGGUGUGGCUCGUAACACCUGAUGACCAAACGGAUCUACGACACCAUCGAAUCUCAAACUUUAACUACCAAAACUAUUGUUUUUCAUUCUAUAGUCCCUUCUAGAAUUUCUAAACGUCCUUUUUUGGGCCGAGAUUUCCAGGAAUGCUUUCUCGGGGUUUGUGUGCAAGUAUUUCAAAUCAUACGGACCUAAAAAUUAGAAGUCAUUCCAUCUUUAUUCCCCUAGAGCCUUCCAGUAGUUCCUAAACCGCUCCAGUCGGAGCACGUUAUCAUUCUUGUUAGUUCAUAGUGAAUUCCCUCGGUAUGAUAAUUCUUUCAUCAGUUUGUUCCCCGUUUCUUCUCUAGCCUGAGCCUGGCACAGUAUUCUAGCUAGACAUGGGUGUGGUCGUAACACCUGAUGACUAAAUGGAUCGACGGCACCAUCGAAUCUCAAACUUUAACUGCCAAAACUAUUGUUUUUCAUCCUGUAAUCCCAUUUAGAAUUACUAAACGUCCUUUUUUGGGCCGAGAUUUAGAGGAACGCUUUGUUGGGGUUUGUGUGCAAGUAUUUCAAACCAUACGGACCUAAAAAUUAGAACUCAUUCCAUAUUUAUUCCCCUUGAGCCUUCCAGCAGUUCCUAAACCGCUCUAGUCGGAGCACGUUAUCAUUCUUGUUAGUUCUAAGAGAAUUCCCUCGGUAUGAUAAUUCUUUUAUCAGUUUGUUCCCCGUUUCUUCUCUAGACUGGGCCCGACACACUAUUCUAGCUAGACAUGGGUGUGGCUCGUAACACCUGAUGACCAAACGGAUCUACGGCACCAUCGAAUCUCAAACUUCAACUGCCAAAACUAUUGUUUUUCAUCCUGUAGUCCCUUUUAGAAUUACUAAACGUCCUUUUUUGGGCCGAGAUUUCCAGGAACGCUUUCUCGGGGUUUGUGUGCAAGUAUUUCAAACCAUACGGACCUAAAAAUUAGAAGUCAUUCCAUCUUUAUUCCCGUAGAGCCAUCCAGCAGUUCCUAAACCGCUCCAGUCGGAGCACGUUAUCAUUCUUGUUAGUUCUGAGUGAAUUCCCUCGGUAUGAUAAUUCUUUCAUCAGUUUGUUCCCCGUUUCUUCUCUAGCCUGAGCCUGACAAACUAUUAUAGCUAGACAUGGGUGUGGCUCGUAACACCUGAUGACCAAACGGAUCUAUGGCACCAUCGAAUCUCAAACUUUAACUGCCAAAACUAUUGUUUUUCAUCCUGUAGUCCCUUUUAGAAUUACUAAACGCCCUUCUUUGGGACGAGAUUUCCAGGAACGCUUUCUCGGGGUUUGUGUGAAAGUAAUUCAAACCAUACGGACCUAAAAAUUAGAAGUCAUUCCAUCUUUAUUCCCGUGGAGCCUUCCAGUAGUUCCUAAACCGCUCCAGUCGGAGCACGUUAUCAUUCUUGUUAGUUCUGAGUGAAUUCCCUCGGUAUGAUAAUUCUUUCAUCAGUUUGUUCCCUGUUUCUUCUCUAGCCUGAGCCUGGCACACUAUUCUAGCUAGACAUGGGUGUGGCUCGUAACACCUGAUGACUAAACUGAUCAAUGACACCAUCGAAUCUCAAACUUUAACUGCCAAAACUAUUGUUUUUCAUCCUGUAGUCCCAUUUAGAAUUACUAAACGUCCUUUUUUGGGCCGAGAUUUCCAGGAACGCUUACUCGGGGUUUGUGUGCAAGUAUUUCAAACCAUACUGACCUAAAAAUUAGAAGUCAAUCCAUCUUUAUUCCCCUAGAGCCUUCCAGCAGUUCCUAAACCGCUCCAGUCGGAGCACGUUAUCAUUCUUGUUAGUUCUGAGUGAAUUCCCUCGGUAUGAUAAUUCUUUCAUCAGUUUGUUCCUUGUUUCUUCUCUAGCCUGAACCUGACACACUAUUCUAGCUAGACAUGGGUGUGGCUCGUAACACCUGAUGACCAAACGGAUCUACGGCACCAUCGAAUCUCAAACUUUAACUGCCAAAACUAUUAUUUUUAAUCCUCUAGUCCCAUUUAGAAUUACUAAACGUCCUUUUUUGGGCCGAGAUUUAGAGGAACGCUUUCAUGCGGUUUGUGUGCAAGUAUUUCAAACCAUACGGACCUAAAAAUUAGAAGUCAUUCCAUCUUUAUUCCCCUAGAGCCUUCCAGCAGUUCCUAAACCGCUCCAGUCGGAGCAUGUUAUCAUUCUUGUUAGUUCUGAGUGAAUUCCCUCGGUAUGAUAAUUCUUUCAUCAGUUUGUGGCCCGUUUCUUCUCUAGCCUGAGCCUGACACACUAUUCUAGCUAGACGUGGGUGUGGCUCGUAACACCUGAUGACCAAACGGAUCUACGGCACCAUCGAAUCUCAAACUUUAAGUGCCAAAACUAUUAUUUUUAAUCCUGUAGUCCCAUUUAGAAUUAC